GCGCUUAUUCAGAAGCUAGUUCCUGUUGAAGAUAGCUCUUGGAAACACUGGAGAGAAGGACGCCGCACCUGCAUGUCAGUCGCUGCAGCAUCAGUUUAUUUGCAACUCCAUUGAUACCUUCCUGCAGUGAAUAAGCUGUCUGAACGUGAUGAGAUGUUAGACCUGAUGGGGUUUGCAGUGUGCUCCCCUUGUUUCUGAAGAGCUCAGAACAGUGAAGGGAAUGGCUCUCUCCCAAUGGUUAGGAGAGAUUGUGGGGAAGGUCCUCCUAUGCUGCAGCCAGUAGGAGUUUGGAUACAGCUCGUGGGUACCUGAGGUACAUUCAGAAAGGCCAGACUCUGGGUUCCUUCUGGCAUUGGGAGGAAGAAGGCAUCCCGGAAGUCAAGACUCUGAACACAUCUUCCUCAAGUACAUCCUACCUAAAGGAAACUCUUGCUUGGCACUGUUGGUUGUUCUGAAAGAAGAGAAAAUCCAGCAAACCACUGACCAUUUCAUUUUGCUGGUAAGUACCUGUUCUUUCCCAUCUCUUGACUCUUUCUUUCUGUUUCCACGUCAACAUCCUUAUCGUCUCCAAACAACAGAGAAAAUAGAAGAUAGAGACCUAGUAUCUGUAAGAUUGAAGCAAAUGAUGAUUAAUAUGUUCAUAUCUACCCUCUACUUGUGCUUAACAGCCUGUAAUUCUCUUUGAUAUCACUGACCACAGUACUACAUCACUUACUAUUAUUCUGAUAUAUAAAUUGUUUCAAGUCUAUUUCCCCUACUCCAUCCCAGACUAUAAAUCUCCAUGAGUGCAGGGGUUUGUCUUCAUUUGUCAUAGGGCCCUCAGCACCUAGCACAGUGCCUGGCACCCAGUGGUCCACAAACACUUAUUAAACAGAUGAAAUAGUACAUCUAUUUUACUCAUCCUGCUUCUUUUUGUGUUUGUUAUCUAUUUUGGUAUUUGAAAGGACAGUACUUCUCUAUAUUAUCUCAUAUGAUCACCUUUACUUUUUCAAUUUAAAAAAGGAUUUCUCAUCUCUAUGGUUGAGAUAUAUGUGCUUUGAUUUUCUGUUCUGUUCAUCUUGUUUACAAAAAAAUCGAUGGCUUGAACAAUGGUAUUGAUAACAUCCUGAACAAAUACACAAAUUCAUAAAGCUGGGAGGGAUGGGGAUUAAGAUUGGCUGAAUCUAUCAAUAUGGGAUUAAAUACACACAAAUGUAAAGCUCUUCUUCUGGGUUCAAAAAGAAACAACUGUGCAAAUGGUAGAGCAAAAUUUGUACUUCAGUGACAAACUGCAUUAUUUAGGACACACUAUUCUGGGUUAUCUAAUUCUGACUCUAUGGAGAUCGUGCAUCUUUCAUUGCCUUUGAGCUAUUUUACAUUUAUAUGAAUUGUAGAUAACAUAGCCGUGUGAAAUAAUUCUUGUC
ensembl:lncRNA